rnacentral:rRNA from 1 species
CCUACGGGUGGCUGCAGUCGAGGAUCUUUCGCAAUGGGCGUAAGCCUGACGAAGCGACGCUGUGUGAGUGAUGAAGGCCUUCGGGUUGUAAAGCUCUUUCGCCUGGGAACGGGUACCAGGUAAAGAAGCACCGGCUAAUUCCGUGCCAGCAGCUGCGGUAAUACGGAAGGUGCAAGCAUUAAUCGGAAUUAUUGGGCGUAAAGGGCGCGUAGGCGGCUAGGUAAGUCUGAUGUGAAAUUCCAAAGCUCAACUUUGGAGCUGCAUUAGAAACUGCUUGGCUAGAGGGAUGGCGGAGAAAAUGGAAUUCCACGUGUAGCGGUGAAAUGCGUAGAUAUGUGGAAGAACACCGGUGGCGAAAGCGGUUUUCUACUUUACCUGACGCUGAGGCGCGAGAGCAAGGGGAGCAAACAGGAUUAGAUACCCUUGUAGUC